rnacentral:rRNA from 1 species
AGAGAUGGAUGUGCCUUCGGGAACUCUGACACAGGUGCUGCAUGGCUGUCGUCAGCUCGUGCCGUGAGAUGUUGGGUUAAGUCCCGUAACGAGCGCAACCCUUGUCCUUAGUUACCAGCACGUUAUGGUGGGCACUCUAAGGAGACUGCCGGUGACAAACCGGAGGAAGGUGGGGAUGACGUCAAGUCAUCAUGGCCCUUACGGCCUGGGCUACACGCGUGCUACAAUGGUCGGUACAAAGGGUUGCCAAGCCGCGAGGUGGAGCUAAUCCCAUAAAACCGAUCGUAGUCCGGAUCGCAGUCUGCAACUCGACUGCGUGAAGUCGGAAUCGCUAGUAAUCGUGAAUCAGAAUGUCACGGUGAAUACGUUCCCGGGCCUU